rnacentral:rRNA from 1 species
UACGAAGGGGGCUAGCGUUGCUCGGAAUCACUGGGCGUAAAGCGCACGUAGGCGGAUCUUUAAGUCAGGGGUGAAAUCCUGGAGCUCAACUCCAGAACUGCCUUUGAUACUGGGGAUCUCGAGUCCGGGAGAGGUGAGUGGAACUCCGAGUGUAGAGGUGAAAUUCGUAGAUAUUCGGAAAGAACACCAGUGGCGAAGGGCGGCUCACUGGCCCGGUACUGACGCUGAGGUGCGAAAGCGUGGGGAGCAAAAGGGAGUUAG